UAAUUAUUUUUAGAUUAUUUAAUGUUUGGAGCAAAGUUGAAUUAAUUUAUUAUUUUGAUUGAUUAGGUGCAAGUCAAAACGGCCCUAACUAAAAAAAUAAUAAUAAUUUAAUUUACUUUAAAGCAGCGCUUCUGAAAAAUUUUUAUAUUAAUCAUGUUGAGCUAAUUACAUUGGGCUUAUUUGCUAUUUGCACCUUGCUAUUUGGUCUAUAUAAUUUGGUGAAGUCAAAAUCUCCUCUUUCUAUAUUUUUAUUAUGUAUGUGGGUUCCCUAUUUGUAAGCCUUUGGAUCAUGGUUCUUUUGAUCCAAAUACCCAUAUUGUUAGCUUCUUCUCUUAGGGAGCUAAAGUGAGAUAUUAGAAUAUGAGAGAAAAGAGAGAGAGAGAAGUAAGGAGUGAGAAAAGAAGUGGGAGAAAAGAGAGAAACUCUAGGCUUGGUUUUGAUUUUGGUUCUAUCAAGAAGGAUGUGAGAUCUUACUUAUGAGCUGUGGUUUACACCAUCUGGAUAGAGUUAAAGAUUGUUGGAGCUUUCUUUUAUACCUUGGAGUUAAGAUAAUAUUUCUCCCAUUUGAAUCUCUCUUGUAAUCUUUAAAUUUAUAGUUGAAACUUCUUUUGCAUUAUC
rnacentral:lncRNA from 1 species